GCGAAGCGGCAACAGCUCAAAUUUGAAAUCUGGCCCUUCCGGGGUCCGAGUUGUAAUUUGCAGAGGAUGCUUCGGCGUCGGCUCCGGGAUAGGUCCCCUGGAAUGGGGCGCCGUAGAGGGUGAGAGCCCCGUAUUCGCCCGGGCGGCCUUCGCCGUGUGAAGCUCCUUCGAAGAGUCGAGUUGUUUGGGAAUGCAGCUCUAAUCGGGAGGUAUAUUUCUUCUAAAGCUAAAUACCGGCCAGAGACCGAUAGCGCACAAGUAGAGUGAUCGAAAGAUGAAAAGCACUUUGGAAAGAGAGUUAAAAAGCACGUGAAAUUGUUGAAAGGGAAGCUCUUGCCGCCAGACUUGCCCCGGUUGCUCAGCCGUCCUUCUGGGCGGUGUACUCUUCCGGCGGCAGGCCAGCGUCAGUUCGGGCGGUCGGACAAAGGCCGUGGGAAUGUAGCACCCCUAGGGGUGCGUUAUAGCCCACGGUGCAAUGCGGCCAGCCCGGUCUGAGGACCGCGUUCGCGAGGACGUUGGCGUAAUGGCGGCAAGCGACCCGUCUUGAAACACGGACCAAGGAGUCUAACAUCUGUGCGAGUGUUUGGGUGUCAAACCCAUGCGCGCAAUUAAAGUGAACGGAGGUUGGAACCCCCUCGAGGGGCGCACAAUCGACCGAUCCUGAUGUCUUCGGAUGGAUUUGAGUAAGAGCAUAGCUGUUGGGACCCGAAAGAUGGUGAACUUUGCCUGGACAGGGCGAAGCCAGAGGAAACUCUGGUGGAGGCUCGCAGCGGUUCUGACGUGCAAAUCGAUCGUCAAAUCUUGGCAAAGGGGCGAAAGACUAAUCGAACCAUUGAGAAAUUUUCGUAGUUUCUCUUCUUUUUGACUACUAGGUGGUUAAUAAAUCCGCGUCCCGGGGUUUCAACCCCCCUGACGACGCGGGUCUAGUGACCUGCUCGAGAGCGGGUCGCGACGUAGCCUGAUUGCGGGGACGCUCUCGGAGCCUUCAGCUACCGCGGUGGUGUCGAAAGACCCCAUGCAGCACCGGGGGGGCUCGAACNAAUGAUCGAGCCCUACCCACGGGGAUGGUAGAAACGCUGAAGGUAUGGAGUGAUCCGCAGCCCCAGCCCUUCGCUGCUUCGGCGGCAUGGGCGCGGUUCACAGACUAGCAGGUUACGGGCGCGAUCCCCCGGAAGUCCCGGGGGGUGCUCAAGGUAUAGUCGGACCCUCUCAGAAAUGAGAGAUGAGGCUCCCACAAGCCUCAAAAAAUCACGGGAACCUAAUUGCAGUGCUAGUAGCUGGUUCCCGCCGAAGUUUCCCUCAGGAUAGCAGUGACGUCGACAGUUUUAUGAGGUAAAGCGAAUGAUUAGAGGCCUUGGGGUUGAAACAACCUUAACCUAUUCUCAAACUUUAAAUAUGUAAGAAGCCCUUGUUGCUUAGCUGAACGUGGGCAGUCGAAUGGACCGUCACUAGUGGGCCAUUUUUGGUAAGCAGAACUGGCGAUGCGGGAUGAACCGAAAGCGAGAUUAAGGUGCCGGAAUGCACGCUUAUCAGACACCACAAAAGGUGUUGGUUGAUCUUGACAGCAGGACGGUGGCCAUGGAAGUCGGAACCCGCCAAGGAGUGUGUAACAACUCACCUGCCGAAUCAACUAGCCCUGAAAAUGGAUGGCGCUCAAGCGUGCUACCCAAAUCUCGCCGCCGGGGCAGGAUCGAUGCCCCGGCGAGUAGGCGGGCGCGGGGGUCAAUGUGACGAAGCCCAGGGAGCGAUCCCGGGUAGAACGGCCCCCGGUG
rnacentral:rRNA from 1 species